rnacentral:lncRNA from 1 species
GGCUGCUGUGUCCCAGGUUUCCUCAGUCUCUAACCCUUUGUUCUCACAGGGGAUGGACUCUUGCUUCUUUUCCCAACUCCACCAAGAGGGACCGUCCCAGGACGUCCUUCCCCGGGCAUCUGGCCCUACAGCUGCCUGAGGUCUCCAUCACCGUUGGCGCCAUCAGUCUGCUGUGCAGCCAGCUGUUGGUUUGGAGAGCCUGAAGAACUGCAGUUCACGUCUCAUCUAAAGGAGCUGAAAUGAUAUUGCAGCUUUUUCUUUUGGUUGCGUGCAGUGAGAAUCUGGGAGCUGAACCUGUUAUCUGCAUGGUCUUCAGAAAUCAGGCAAACUCGGAAAAUGCCAACGCCAAAAAUGCUGAUGGGUGACAAAGUGUCACAGGUGUGAUGCAUUACAAAUCUCAGGACUUUUGUUCACUGGAUUUGAAAGGUCAAGCUUCACAGGAAAAUGAUGAAGUCCCAAAAGACCAGAAAUAUAUUUCAGAAGAUGCCAGUUACUACUUUAAAUGUCAAACCAACAUUUCAGAAAUAACUUUCAAUGAUUAUUUCCUGCCAAGAAGGUGAACGCUGGAGACCUUAAUGGUGGAAGAUGGAGGGCGUCUUUCCUUCUGUUAAGCUGACAACUUGGCUUCCAUCUUGUGAGGACCUCACCCUACCUGGUGGCAGAGGACGUCUGACGCCCUCAAUCAUUGCCGUUACACUUCCCAGCCUGGUGGUCAGUCUCCUGGGGUCUGUGUGUUAACAAACCAUCGACUGGACAAUCGCAGUUUUCCUUAUGAAGGCUUACUUUAAAAAGGCUCUGGAUUUUCAGAAGCGAAGUCGCUUUCAUCCCCGAUUCAGACCCAUCCUAGUGGAGGAAAAAUCCUACCAGAAGAAGGGCUGACCAUAGGAACUUGCCAUUUCCUUGACCCCAUCAUAUCUGAGGAAAAAACAACAGAAAAGGGGAAGAAGAUGCUGCAUACAGGAUGGAAUAUCCAGGGGAAGACGUCUAAGGAGAGAUGCCCAGCUGGGAGUCCUAUGCAAGGGGAAGAAGAUGCUGCAUACAGGAUGGGAUAUCCAGGGGAAGAUUUCUAAGAAGAGAUGCCCAGCUGGGAGUCCUAUGCAAGGGGAAGAAGAUGCUGCAUACAGGAUGGGAUAUCCAGGGGAAGAUUUCUAAGGAGAGACACCCGGCUGGAAGUCAAGAUAUGUCAGUUGUUUCCAUUAUAAUAAAACCACUCAUGUUAGAUGAGCUGAACUUUCCCUUUUCCCCAGUUCUUACGAUCAAAAAGUGGCUGUCCUAAAUUUCAUCACUCAAUAUCCUUGCUAGGUGAGUAAUUAGAUAAC